UACAGAGGUGGCAAGCGUUGUUCGGAAUUACUGGGCGUAAAGGGCGCGUAGGCGGCCAUCUAAGUCAGACGUGAAAUCCCCCGGCUUAACCUGGGAACUGCGUCUGAUACUGGACGGCUUGAGUAUGGGAGAGGGAUGUAGAAUUCCAGGUGUAGCGGUGAAAUGCGCAGAUAUCAGGAGGAACACCGGUGGCGAAGGCGGUUCUCUGGGCAUGUCCUGACGCUGAGGAGCGAAAGUGUGGGGAGCGAACAGG
rnacentral:rRNA from 1 species